UGGGGAAUAUUGCACAAUGGAGGGAACUCUGAUGCAGCGACGCCGCGUGAGUGAUGAAGGACUUCGUUUCGUAAAACUCUGUUCUAUGGGAAGAAAAGGACUGUACCAUAGGAGAAAGCUCCGGCUAAAUACGUGCUAGCAGCCGCGGUAAUACGUAUGGAGCGAGCGUUGUCCGGAAUUAUUGGGCGUAAAGGGUGCGCAGGCGGCUUUACAAGUUGGAUGUGAAAUAUUGUGGCUCAACCACAAACGUGCAUCCAAAACUGCAAAGCUUGAGUUAAGGAGAGGUAAGUGGAAUUCCUGGUGUAGCGGUGGAAUGCGUAGAUAUCAGGAGGAAUACCGGUGGCGAAGGCGACUUACUGGACUUAAACUGACGCUCAGGCACGAAAGCGUGGGGAGCAAACAGG
rnacentral:rRNA from 1 species